AUUGAACGCUGGCGGCAUGCCUUACACAUGCAAGUCGAACGGUAACAGGUUAAGCUGACGAGUGGCGAACGGGUGAGUAAUAUAUCGGAACGUGCCCAGUCGUGGGGGAUAACUGCUCGAAAGAGCAGCUAAUACCGCAUACGACCUGAGGGUGAAAGCGGGGGAUCGCAAGACCUAGCGCGAUUGGAGCGGCCGAUAUCAGAUUAGGUAGUUGGUGGGGUAAAGGCCUACCAAGCCUACGAUCUGUAGCUGGUCUGAGAGGACGACCAGCCACACUGGGACUGAGACACGGCCCAGACUCCUACGGGAGGCAGCAGUGGGGAAUUUUGGACAAUGGACGCAAGUCUGAUCCAGCCAUGCCGCGUGCGGGAAGAAGGCCUUCGGGUUGUAAACCGCUUUUGUCAGGGAAGAAAAGGUUCCGGUUAAUACCUGGGACUCAUGACGGUACCUGAAGAAUAAGCACCGGCUAACUACGUGCCAGCAGCCGCGGUAACAC
rnacentral:rRNA from 1 species